GCAGUCGAACGAGUUCUCGUUGAUGAUCGGUGCUUGCACCGAGAUUCAACAUGGAACGAGUGGCGGACGGGUGAGUAACACGUGGGUAACCUGCCCUUAAGUGGGGGAUAACAUUUGGAAACAGAUGCUAAUACCGCAUAGAUCCAAGAACCGCAUGGUUCUUGGCUGAAAGAUGGCGUAAGCUAUCGCUUUUGGAUGGACCCGCGGCGUAUUAGCUAGUUGGUGAGGUAAUGGCUCACCAAGGCGAUGAUACGUAGCCGAACUGAGAGGUUGAUCGGCCACAUUGGGACUGAGACACGGCCCAAACUCCUACGGGAGGCAGCAGUAGGGAAUCUUCCACAAUGGACGCGAGUCUGAUGGAGCAACGCCGCGUGAGUGAAGAAGGCUUUCGGGUCGUAAAACUCUGUUGUUGGAGAAGAAUGGUCGGCAGAGUAACUGUUGUCGGCGUGACGGUAUCCAACCAGAAAGCCACGGCUAACUACGUGCCAGCAGCCGCGGUAAUACGUAGGUGGCAAGCGUUAUCCGGAUUUAUUGGGCGUAAAGCGAGCGCAGGCGGUUUUUUAAGUCUGAUGUGAAAGCCCUCGGCUUAACCGAGGAAGCGCAUCGGAAACUGGGAAACUUGAGUGCAGAAGAGGACAGUGGAACUCCAUGUGUAGCGGUGAAAUGCGUAGAUAUAUGGAAGAACACCAGUGGCGAAGGCGGCUGUCUGGUCUGUAACUGACGCUGAGGCUCGAAAGCAUGGGUAGCGAACAGGAUUAGAUACCCUGGUAGUCCAUGCCGUAAACGAUGAAUGCUAGGUGUUGGAGGGUUUCCGCCCUUCAGUGC
rnacentral:rRNA from 1 species